GGGUUGUGAGGUUAAGCGACUAAGCGUACACGGUGGAUGCCCUGGCAGUCAGAGGCGAUGAAGGGCGUGCUAAUCUGCGAUAAGCGCCGGUAAGGUGAUAUGAACCGUUAUAACCGGCGAUACCCGAAUGGGGAAACCCAGUGUGAUUCGUCACACUAUCAUUAACUGAAUCCAUAGGUUAAUGAGGCGAACCGGGGGAACUGAAACAUCUAAGUACCCCGAGGAAAAGAAAUCAACCGAGAUUCCCCCAGUAGCGGCGAGCGAACGGGGAGGAGCCCAGAGCCUGAAUCAGCAUGUGUGUUAGUGGAAGCGUCUGGAAAGGCGCGCGAUACAGGGUGACAGCCCCGUACACAAAAGCGCAUGUGCUGUGAGCUCGAUGAGUAGGGCGGGACACGUGGUAUCCUGUCUGAAUAUGGGGGGACCAUCCUCCAAGGCUAAAUACUCCUGACUGACCGAUAGUGAACCAGUACCGUGAGGGAAAGGCGAAAAGAACCCCGGCGAGGGGAGUGAAAAAGAACCUGAAACCGUGUACGUACAAGCAGUGGGAGCCCCACCACUAAGCCAGUGGUGAACUCCACAUACGCAUCCUUUGCUGAGGAUACGGUUAACGGAGCGAAAGCGACGUUCAACCUCAAAAGAAGCAGAGGGGGCUUAGUGGUGGGGUGACUGCGUACCUUUUGUAUAAUGGGUCAGCGACUUAUAUUCUGUAGCAAGGUUAACCGUAUAGGGGAGCCGUAGGGAAACCGAGUCUUAAC
rnacentral:rRNA from 1 species